GCGGAUUUACUCAAGAGGCUGAAGAGGCUCCCCUGCUAAGGGAGUAGGUCGGGUAACCGGCGCGAGGGUUCAAAUCCCUCAAUCCGCG
rnacentral:tRNA from 2 species